GUGCCUGCGGUACGAACAGGUCCCUGACAUACAAUACCAUUUUAUUCACUUUGUCAGCUGAUAUUAUGUUUUUAGCUGAUGAUUAAGGAUGGGAAAGUU